rnacentral:tRNA from 1 species
CCCUGGCUGGUUCAGUUGGUAGAGCAUAUGACUCAUGAUCUUGGGGUUGUGAGUUCGAGCCCCAUGCUGAGGG